ensembl:lncRNA
AAUGGAAGUCUUUGAAGGGCUUUAUAAGCAGGAAAGCGACUGAUGAGAUUUGCAUGUUGAGAAGUUCCUUCUGGCUGCUCCACAGAGAACAGAAUGGGGCAUUCUUAAUCCUGGGUGAUCCUCUUUCUCUGGGCCCCAAGAGGGGAAAGAGUCAGAAGCAGGGGGCAGCUGUGACUCCCUCUGACCGGUCCUCCCAAGCUCAUGUAGGCUGGAAAUAUACUCAGAAACAUAGGGCUUACUUUGAACAAUGGAUUAAAAGACAAGUAUUUCAUUGGUGCAGAGAUGAGCUCAAAUCUGAAAGCUGGUCCAAGCAGCAGAAUGCUCAGAGCCUCACACCGGCUUAACUGGGCCAGGGAGUCAGGACCCUGCUGACAAAGAGAAAUUGAGAAGAAGGAAACCUCCUGGAGAAUUCAGAUCAGAAAUGAAAUACUUUGGCUUCAACUUGUGCUUCUGGAGAGAUCCUUAUUCCUGUCCCUCAACACUCUUGACUCAGCAUUCAGAGGCCAGUCCCUGAGAGGCAGCAAUUACAAACAAUUACCCAGUAGGACUUCAUGUCCCUUCCACAGCAUGGCCUGUUUACUCAGAAGCCAUGAGAAGCCUGACAUUCUAGACCAUUCCCCAUCACCCUUCCUGUUGUUGCCUUUAUAUCUUCUCUGACUCGAGCUUGGACCCUCCUCAGCCCUCCAAACCUUCCCACUAUGCCUUCCGGACUCCUGGUCUGUCAUCAGCAAAAUCCCCUAGAGCCUCACAUUUUUUUCUGAAUAUUUUCUUCAUCCUUUUGCAGACCCAACUGAAAUCCCUUGUUGCCCUCCCUCUCAAUUGGUGUUUCUUUCUUUUUCCCUCCCCUGUUUUCUUCAUGUCCCAGGCCUGGAGGAGGCAAGGUCUCCUUGCAUCUCACUGCUGCUUCUGGUCCUUUGUUCUUCCCGCUCUCUAAAGUAUUCCAGCCAUUUGAAACACAUGCCAUGGGGCUCUACCCUGUCCUGCUCCUCCUUUGCAUCAUUUACUUUCUUCCUCCUCACACCCCCUCAUUUCUUGAUAAGUUUAGCGCCUGGAUUUCAGUUUUUCCACCAGCGCUUUUGUAAUUACUUUCUGUAUUCUGAAUAUCCAUGUGGAUGAUUCACCCAGCACCUGGCCUCUCAGUGGCCAGGGUCUCAUGCUCUGUCCCAUGUCAGUAUUUUAUUCCCAUGGCCAUACUCUAGACUUUGUAUUACUCACUCCUCAGCACCUCAAAGUCUCAACUUCACUAAGUCCUCUCUGACUGUCAUCUCCUUCUGUCCUAGCCCAUUCUGCCCAGUAAUCCAACUCCAGCAAUGCUUUGGCCCCUCUCAGACCUUCACUCCAUCUUAUUCCUUUUCUUUGCCGUCUCUCCCCUGUUCACCCAGCUGAGAGUUCACGGACGGCCUCCAUACAUUUUCUUGCAUGCCACUCAACUCCUUUGUUCAUUUUUCCCUUUUUUAUAGUUGUUGGCAAAACUCCAACCCUGGUUAGACCCCACUCUCUGACUACUCCGCAUCUGCACCAAGCCCCUGAAUAUGGCUUGCAAAGAGCACACAACCUCCUUGCAACCGUGUAACUGGCCU